UUUCUUACUUUUAUUUUUUUGCAUCAACUGUGGCAGGAAAACAGGUUUCUUGUUAUGGUGAUACGUGAUUUGUUAAACCUUUGUGAGAUUACAAAAGGCAAAGACAACAAAGUAGUUAUUGCAAGUAAUAUAAUGCAAAUGACCGUGAACUCCAGUUUUCCAUGGUUGAUGGUGAUUUCAAGAAGUUUGUAGGAAAAUGGUCUGUCAAAUCUGGUAAAAGUCCGGUUUGUUGCACUCACAACCCAAAUCAGCAGUUGGAACACUAGCAUAUAUUGAACCUGAGGUCCUGUCAAGGAAGGAAUAUGAUGGGAAGUACAAUGCUAUUAAAUGCUCUUGAGGAGAUGAAAAAGGUUGGCUUUUGGAUAUGCUCAUGAAGAUGACUUCAGUUUGACACAAAUUGCUGCUUUAGUCUAUGUUUUUGUUUGGAAAGAGUACUUUGUUUUUUUGGAUGCGUAAUGGCUGUUACUAGUUGAACUGAUGUGAAUUUAGUACUCUAUUGUUUGGAUGGAUAA